rnacentral:rRNA from 1 species
CCUACGGGGGACAGCAGUGAGGAAUAUUGGUCAAUGGACGGGAGACUGAACCAGCCAAGUAGCGUGAAGGAUGACUGCCCUAUGGGUUGUAAACUUCUUUUAUAAAGGAAUAAAGCGAGGUACGUGUGCCUUUUUGCAUGUACUUUAUGAAUAAGGAUCGGCUAACUCCGUGCCAGCAGCCGCGGUAAUACGGAGGAUCCGAGCGUUAUCCGGAUUUAUUGGGUUUAAAGGGAGCGUAGGCGGGAUGUUAAGUCAGUUGUGAAAGGUCCGGGCUCAACCCGAGGAUUGCAAUUGAAACUGGCAGUCUUGAGUACGCGAGAGGUAGGCGGAAUGCGUAGUGUAGCGGUGAAAUGCUUAGAUAUGACGAAGAACCCCGAUUGCGAAGGCAGCUUACUAAAGUGUAACUGACGCUGAUGCUCGAAAGCGUGGGUAUCGAACAGGAUUAGAUACCCGGGUAGUC